rnacentral:rRNA from 1 species
UACGUAGGGGGCUAGCGUUGCUCGGAAUUACUGGGCGUAAAGCGCACGUAGGCGGUCUUUUAAGUCGGGGGUGAAAUCCUGGAGCUCAACUCCAGAACUGCCUUCGAUACUGGAGGACUUGAGUCCGGGAGAGGUGAGUGGAACUGCGAGUGUAGAGGUGAAAUUCGUAGAUAUUCGCAAGAACACCAGUGGCGAAGGCGGCUCACUGGCCCGGUACUGACGCUGAGGUGCGAAAGCGUGGGGAGCAAACAGG